AGCUUAAUCUAAUUUAAAAUAAAUUUGAUUUAUUUGAAUUUUCUCUUUUUGCUUUGAAUUCUUUUUGAUUAAUCGGUUAUGUUAAUAAUUAGAAAUAUGAGAAGAAAAAAAAUGAUUUGAAAAAGAAAAAAACGCAGAGAAGAAAAGAAAAGAAAGGGAGAAAAGAAAAGGGAAAAGGAGGAGAAAAAUCAAUAUUUUCAUCUCAAGGCGUCAAGACUGGAUUUUAUUUGGAAGUGCAACAAAGGAGGAAGGCUAAAGUCCCGAAGUGAUUGUUCGAUAAAUGAGGCAAGUGGAUUUCUAAACUCUUGUUAAGUGUAUGAAAUGCGUGUAUGUCCUUGUGGUAUAUGUUUGGAAGUAACGGGAUUGGUGAUGGGUUGACUUGCCCACAUUGAUUAAUUCUAAUGAUGAAAAAAAUGGGGAUAACAAAAGGCAAUGUGAUUAAUUGUUUAUGUGUGUUGUGUUGAGAAAGGGUUGAAGUCUUGUUGAAUCAUUGUUGAUGUAACUUCAUGUUUGUGUGGUUGUGAACUGUGCGAUGUUAUGAAAAUGGUCAUCUCAUUAUUUGUGUGAUUUUGUCAUCUGCAUUAUUCUGAGGCAUUGGUUGUGACAAGUGUUAUGUGCAUUGAGAAAGAAUAGGUACUUAAGAGGAUGUACCAUUUCAAGGGACGUAUCGCGCAUCGCGAUGGAUACUAUAUUUCGAGGGACGUAUCGCGCGCCGCGAUGGUUACUAUUAUCGAGGGUCGUGUCAUGCGCCGCGAUAGAUGCAUGGACAGAUAUGUCCCCCAUGGGUCCCGGACUGAGAGACAGCGGGUGUGUAUCAUUAGGUCAGACAUGCAUCAUUAUACUUGACAUUGCAUUCCAUUGCAUUGCACAUACUUAUUAUUAGUGAACUUGAUAUCGUGUUUUGCUGAUCUUCUGAUUGCCUCCUGUGGAACUUGUGAUAGAUCAAUAUUGAGCUUGUCGCGGAUAUGUAAUUUGUUGAAGUAUUAUUGUUGAGGAUAUGUAAUUUGUUAAAGUUUUGUUGUUGAGGAUAUGUAAUUUGUCUAAGUGUUGUUGUUGAGCUACGUGUUAUGUUGGGUAGAUUUUAAUUCAGAUUGUUGUUGUGGAGGUUCGGUUGGGGGUGGUAAGAGUACUCGUAUUUCAUCCCCUUAGCUUGUGUUUAGAGGUUUACUUGCUGAGUACCGUGUGGUUUGGUACUCACCCCUUACUUCUACAAAUUUUUUUGUAGGUUGUGAGCCUGGAUUUUUGUUGUACUUGUCAUUCUCUUCUUUUCCCAGGCUUCUUGGAGAUUUGUGAGGCAGCUGUUUCCAUCUCAACAGACUUUCUUCUCCUUAAUUAUGAUCAAGUUCUAUUCUAGAAAAAAGUUCAUUUGAGACUUGAGUUUUUCAUUUGAAUCAAUUGUAAUAUUUUAGAGGCUUGUACACGUGAAUACCAGGUUUUGGGUUUUUUUUAUAAGUUACUUAUAUUUUAGUUCCGCACUUAUUGUAAUGGUUGAGUUUUAGGCUGGCUUGUCUUGGUGGGAUAAGACGAGUACCGUCACAUCCAUUUUUGGGUCGUGACAUCAAUUUUCUUUACUAUUAUUCUUUUUUUAUUUAUCAAAAUAAACUCUCUGAAAUUUGACAAGACUAAUUAUAUAAUAAACGGAAAAGGGUUAAAAUUGUAAAAUAG
rnacentral:lncRNA from 1 species